rnacentral:rRNA from 1 species
GUCCUGGCUGUAAACGGUGCACGUUUGCUGUAAGAGGAAUCGACCCCUCUUGUGGCGAAGCUAACGCGAUAAACGUGCCGCCUGGGGAGUACGGUCGCAAGAUUAAAACUCAAAGAAAUUGACGGGGGCCGUGCACAAGCGGUGGAGUAUGUGGCUUAAUUCGAUGCAACGCGAAGAACCUUACCUGGCCUUGACAUGCACGUAGUAGGAGCCUGAAAGGGUAACGAACCCGCAAGGGAAGCGUGCACAGGUGCUGCAUGGCUGUCGU